rnacentral:ncRNA from 23 species
UUUUUUCACUAGGGGCGCCCGUACGGGCUGAGACAGAAUGGUUUCUGGACCCUUUGAACCUGAUCUGGAUUAUACCAGCGUAGGAAAGUGGGAAUGCAUGAAU